UCUUUUUUUUUUUUUUUUCAGUUUUUCUUUGUUGACUCUUUUUUUCUGUAUUAUUUUUUUUAUUUGGGAACGUGUUGUGUUACAUGUUUUUUUUUCUAUAUACACCGCUUCAACACGUGUUCCUCAUCUUUCAUCAUCAUCGGCUCACCCAUCGACUUAGUUUAAUCCCUCCACUCCUCGAUAUUUCCUCCACCGCCUCACACCACCUGCUCUACUUUCCACCGAUUAUGGUGACGGGAACUAAAAAAGGAGGGUAUCCGCCGCCGAUGGUGACGGUCUUGAGGUCGUCAUUUACAGAUCUAAAGGCGUCAUGGUAUGUUUACAACAUUCAUCGAUUGUAAAUAGAGGGUACAUCCCGAGUGUAGAUAUGCAUCGGUUGUAUGCAUCUUUAGGAUAACAAAGAAAUCAUAUCGGAUCCCGCUUCAAUUACCGUUGAUUUUCGUCUCUCACUGCCUUCGAGCAUCCACUGCCGACUUUGAGGAGGAGGGUCGGAGUCCGAAGAAGGUGCAUGUCGUGAAGCAGGAAACACAACUUACGUGGAUGAUCCGCCGAAUCGAGCAGCUUAAAGGUUGUGAGGCAGUGAACAUGAUGGAGGAAUGGUCGCCGAAGUUCCAAAGAAAGUAACAUCUUCUGUUUUCCUAUCAGUAAAUCAUGGUGCUUCAGCCCAAGUAAUAGACAAUAGACAGCUUCAAGUGUUCCUUAUAUUGGAUUAUAAGUUGCAAUGCUGAAGCUGUGCAGCUUCAUAAAAUGAGGUCACUGGAAAAUGAUAUUAUUGUAUCUGAACAUUGAAGUAAGUAUCUAUACCUUCUUUCUUAAAAAUUCUAUAGUUGGUCUCUAGGUUUUUAUUAAUUUUGUCCAUCUUCAUCUAGCCAUUAAUUAUGUUUCAUUUGGUAAAUUUGAUCUUUUCUUUGUAUUACUGCCACGCUCAUUCUUAACGUUACAGGUAAACUCAUCGUAUUAUUAAUUAAUUGUUUUGAUUUUUAAUUGUAUCAAAAUCAAAUUAUGUGAUUUAUUUUUUGUAUUUACUUUUAGAUAUUGCAAGCAAUUCGUUCUCUUAAAGCUCAAGUUCCAGUGAGUACCACAAGCCCAAGAAGGCAAUCGGUGGGAGGACUUUACUACCUUUCAUAACUGGACAGGAACAUGCUUGUGGGUCGAGAUGUGAGAGGUGGUGGUCUAUUUGUAUUUAUUCCAGCUCAAAACUUCGUGUAGUUUACCCAAUUUUUUGCCCAUUGUAAUUUGUAUCACAUAACUUAUUCUUAUUAUGAUUGUACCAUUAUAUUUCAUUUUGCAAAUACAAAAUGGAAAUUAGAUUUUUUUGAUGUUUACGUUAAAUAUAACAUAAUAUAGUUAUGCCCUCAA